rnacentral:lncRNA from 1 species
AGACACAGUUCAAAACAAGUCCUCUAACACUCGAUCCUUCUCCCUCCCACCAGACUACAGCUCUGAGCCCCUGCGGUAUAAAAUCGGGAGCGGCUAUUGGCACUUUGAUCAGUAUCCAUCUUGUAAAGAUGAAGAAUUUGGGGUUCAUCAUACAGUUAGUGGCAGCGGGAUUCUGACCCUGGCGUGUGUGACCUCAAAAGCCACGCUUUCUCAAAGAUCUCACUGAAACUUUCAUUGAAAAUCAUUUGAUUUUCUUCAAGAAAACGUAACUCUGAUUUUAUAGAGAGAAUCAACGGAAAGCUGGAGUCAAUACGCGGAGAGCCAUUCUUGUCCAGUUUCUUGGGAACUCAGUGAUUCCCCUUGGAUGAGGCACGCCUUGAGGACAGUAGCAACCACAAAAUCUAACAAAGUAAGAUGCCGCAGAGUAGAGUGUUAAUUUCAGAGUUUACGCGCCAAUUCCAGCGUUUCAGAAAUUGAUAAACGUGCUCACGUGCGCACACACUCACAUACAAAGGUGAACUUUUUCCCUUUGUGUUUGGAUUUAAGUGGAAGUUAAAAUGAGGCUUACUGAGAAAAUUAGUGACACUGGACAAGAGUGUUAGCGAAACUUCGAUUUUAGAAAAUCACGCUCUGACUUGACCAUAAGGCUUCAGUCUCUGUAGUUGAUUGGGAGAGAAAUCGGGUUGCUCAGACCUUUCCGGGUCUCUGCUGUAAUAGGACAUUAUUCCUUGUAUAUCUCUGUCCAUCACCUGGGGAUCAAAGACAGUGGAAAACUUUUCGAAACAAAGGGAGCCGCAAAAAAAAGCUCAUGCCAAAAACUAAUUAAAACACUCCAUCCUUAAGCAUAGCAUUAUUUGCUCUCAGUACUUACGUCUCUCAGAAAGUUUAUAUGAAACUUCUUGUCAAGGCUUAUUUCUUCUGUGGCAAAGAAUCAAACCCUCUCUUUCUUUUUAUUCAGAUUUUUCGUUUUCGUCAACAGAAAAAGAAAGAAUUGGUGAGGACAGCAAGGAGAAAGAUGUGUGAUAUGGAAAAACGUAGCCACCUACAGGUUGAUUGUUCUGGCUAGAACUAUGUGACAAGUGAAAUUUGACUUAGGAAUACAAUCCAAAAAGCAAAAUAUUUAGGGAGUGGAUGAGGGCAGCGAAGACUGAAAUGGUCAAUAACGAUGGUUACUGAUGUUUACAGUGGAGUUGGAUUUUGUGCUGAGAAUCCAAGUUGGCAUUCAAGGUGACAAUUGCAUAUAUCACGUCAUUAUGUUAUAUAUCAGUAGAGAAGAGAAAAUGCUUUCAAUUAAACUAUGACACAUCAUUGAUUACAGAUGCAUCCUGAUUUCAGAGAUGUUAAAAUUGGGGAAAAUGUUUGAAUUAUCAUCAGUGAAAUACAGGAUCAAAAUUACCUCUGAAAUCCCGAGGACAUGAACAGACAUUUCUCCUAAGAAGAUAUAUGGAUGGUCAAUAGACACAUGAAAAGAUGCUCAUCACCACUGAUCAUCAGGGAAAUGCAAUCAAAACUACACUAAGAU